rnacentral:lncRNA from 1 species
UUAUUUUGAUAUACUCACCUUUGUCUCUUGUUGCAGAUACUUCACUUCCUGCCCUUGUGUGUUUUCCACCUGUCCCUCGUUAGCCCUGCUGCCACCUGUCCCUCGUUAUCACCCUCCUCUCAUUGUGUAUAAUCUGUUUCAGUGAACCGUCCAGCUGUAAGAUCCCAGUGUUUUUGUUAACUUUUGCCUUCUUACCCGUUCGAACCCUACCUACAAGUUAAGACUUUUCAUUUAAAAUACUCUGGGAGCAUCUGAGUCCAUUGUAUGUUGGUACUACUGUGACCCUGGUAGAACAGAAGCUCUGGCCCCCAGUUGGCCCCUUAAGUGAUCCAGACACAAGCCAAUUUAAGUCCACCUUUAAUAAUAAUAAUAAUUUACAUACUGUAUGGAUGAUAUUUAAUGUCAGAUGUUGUUGGUUUCAUGACUAUCCACACAUUCAUUUUAAACUUGUCAAUCAUUCAUAUUAUACCUAAAUAACUGGAAUGUGUGUUCUGGUAAAAAGCCACAUAACAGUGUAUUCCAGCCUGUUAAAAGUAUUUGCAUGUACUCAGUAUGUGUCAACCUGUUGAGUACCAUACGAGUAGGUUUCACCACAUCAUGAUCUGGUUCAAACUCAGGUCUGGCUCGAUUGUCUCAGGCUUAUCAAAACAUUUUAUGGUUUGGAGUCCAUAAUCCCACAGUUCAGGGAUCUGAGGAUGAAUUGUUGCAGUGCUAAUGUCCGAGAGGGAUAUAUUCACAUACUGAAGCAGUGUGAGUGUCGGGCUCUUAUACCUGCAGCAGUUCUCGGCCUGAUCCUCGUUUCUCCACGUCCAUCUCCAGACAACGGGACAGGAAAGAUCUGAAGACAGGAGACAGCUUCUCUGGACUCUGCAGCUCAGGAGUCCCAUUGGUGGCAAUUAAAUACAAAGCCGACCAAAACCACUCCAGUUUAAGCUAAAAAACUUCGGAGCAUCCAAGCUACACGUGGAAGCGAAAGAAAGUUAUGCUA